UUCUGGACUGACACUGACACUGAGGUGCGAAAGCGUGGGUAGCAAACAGGAUUAGAUACCCUGGUAGUCCACGCCGUAAACGAUGUCGACUAGCCGUUGGGUCCCUUGAGGACUUUGUGGCGCAGUUAACGCGAUAAGUCGACCGCCUGGGGAGUACGGCCGCAAGGUUAAAACUCAAAUGAAUUGACGGGGGCCCGCACAAGCGGUGGAGCAUGUGGUUUAAUUCGAUGCAACGCGAAGAACCUUACCUACCCUUGACAUCGUGCGAACUUGGUAGAGAUACCUUGGUGCCUUCGGGAGCGCACAGACAGGUGCUGCAUGGCUGUCGUCAGCUCGUGUUGUGAAAUGUUGGGUUAAGUCCCGUAACGAGCGCAACCCUUGUCCCUAUUUGCCAGCGAUUCGGUCGGGAACUCUAGGGAGACUGCCGGUGACAAACCGGAGGAAGGUGGGGACGACGUCAAGUCAUCAUGGCCCUUACGGGUAGGGCUACACACGUGCUACAAUGGCCGGUACAAAGGGUUGCGAAGCCGCGAGGUGGAGCCAAUCCCGAAAAGCCGGUCUCAGUCCGGAUCGGAGUCUGCAACUCGACUCCGUGAAGUCGGAAUCGCUAGUAAUCGUGAAUCAGAAUGUCACGGUGAAUACGUUCCCGGGCCUUGUACACACCGCCCGUCACACCAUGGGAGUGGACUGCACCAGAAGUGGUUAGCUUAACCUUCGGGGGAGCGAUCACCACGGUGUGGUUUCAUGACUGGGGUGAAGUCGUAACAAGU
rnacentral:rRNA from 1 species